rnacentral:rRNA from 1 species
GACGAACCGAGCGAACGUUGUUCGGAAUCACUGGGCUUAAAGGGCGCGUAGGCGGGCUGCCGCGUCCGGGGUGAAAUCCCACGGCUCAACCGUGGAACGGCCCCGGGUACGGGCGGCCUCGAGGAAGGUAGGGGCGUGCGGAACUGUGGGUGGAGCGGUGAAAUGCGUAGAGAUCCGGAGGAACACCAACGGCGUAGGCAGCGCCCUAGACGAGACCUGACGCUCAGGCACGAAAGCGCGGGGAGCGAACAGG